rnacentral:rRNA from 1 species
ACCCAGCCGCGGCGAAAGAAAACUACAAUCAAUAAGCGGAGGAAAAGAAACCAACCGGGAUUGCCCCAGUAACGGCGAGUGAAGCGGCAACAGCUCAAAUUUGAAAUCUGGAGUCUUUGUUGGCUUCCGAGUUGUAAUUUGCAGAGGGAGCCUCGGAGGGCUGGUCGGUCCAAGUGCCUUGGAACAGGAUACCGCAGAGGGUGAGAGUCCCGUAUCCGGCCGACGCAGUGCUCCGUGUGAGGCCUCUUCGACGAGUCGAGUUGUUUGGGAAUGCAGCUCUAAGUGGGUGGUAAAUUCCAUCUAAAGCUAAAUACUGGCCAGAGACCGAUAGCGAACAAGUAGAGUGAUCGAAAGAUGAAAAGCACUUUGAAAAGAGAGUUAAACAGUACGUGAAAUUGUUGAAAGGGAAGCGCAUGGGGGCAGACUUGGACGCGGGGUUCAGGGUCUCUUUUUUGGAGGCGUGUACUUCCCCGCGGACAGGCCAGCAUCGGUUCUGGGGGCCGGACAAAGGCGACGGGAACGUGGCUCUCUUCGGGGAGUGUUAUAGCCCGACGUGCAAUGCGGCCACCUGGGACCGAGGACCGCGCUUCGGCAAGGAUGCUGGCGUAAUGGCCUCAUGCGGCCCGUCUUGAAACACGGACCAAGGAGUCUAACAUCUAUGCGAGUGUUUGGGUGGCAAGCCCGGACGCGCAAUGAAAGUGAACGGAGGUGGGAGCCCUUUCCCUGCGUGGAGGGGGUGCAGCAUCGACCGAUCCGGACGUUUUCUGAAGGAUUUGAGUAAGAGCAUAGCUGUUGGGACCCGAAAGAUGGUGAACUAUGCGUGAAUAGGGUGAAGCCAGAGGAAACUCUGGUGGAGGCUCGCAGCGGUUCUGACGUGCAAAUCGAUCGUCAAAUUUGCGUAUAGGGGCGAAAGACUAAUCGAACCAUUCUAGGUAGCUGGUCCUGCGUGUCUCUCUCUCUCACAUAGAGGAA